UAAGAUGAGAGUUUGAUCCUGGCUCAGGACGAACGCUGGCGGCGUGCCUAAUACAUGCAAGUCGAAC
rnacentral:rRNA from 1 species